GGGUUGUGAGGUUAAGCGACUAAGCGUACACGGUGGAUGCCCUGGCAGUCAGAGGCGAUGAAGGACGUGCUAAUCUGCGAAAAGCGUCGGUAAGGUGAUAUGAACCGUUAUAACCGGCGAUGUCCGAAUGGGGAAACCCAGUGCAAUUCGUUGCACUAUCGUUAACUGAAUACAUAGGUUAACGAGGCGAACCGGGGGAACUGAAACAUCUAAGUACCCCGAGGAAAAGAAAUCAACCGAGAUUCCCCCAGUAGCGGCGAGCGAACGGGGAGCAGCCCAGAGUCUGAAUCAGCUUGUGUGUUAGUGGAACGGUCUGGAAAGUCCGACGGUACAGGGUGAUAGUCCCGUACACCAAAAUGCACAGGCUGUGAACUCGAAGAGUAGGGCGGGACACGUGGUAUCCUGUCUGAAUAUGGGGGGACCAUCCUCCAAGGCUAAAUACUCCUGACUGACCGAUAGUGAACCAGUACCGUGAGGGAAAGGCGAAAAGAACCCCGGCGAGGGGAGUGAAAAAGAACCUGAAACCGUGUACGUACAAGCAGUGGGAGCACCUUCGGGUGUGACUGCGUACCUUUUGUAUAAUGGGUCAGCGACUUAUAUUCUGUAGCAAGGUUAACCGUAUAGGGGAGCCGCAGGGAAACCGAGUCUUAACUGGGCGUUAAGUUGCAGGGUAUAGACCCGAAACCCGGUGAUCUAGCCAUGGGCAGGUUGAAGGUUGGGUAACACUAACUGGAGGACCGAACCGACUAAUGUUGAAAAAUUAGCGGAUGACUUGUGGCUGGGGGUGAAAGGCCAAUCAAACCGGGAGAUAGCUGGUUCUCCCCGAAAGCUAUUUAGGUAGCGCCUCGUGAAUUCAUCUUCGGGGGUAGAGCACUGUUUCGGCUAGGGGGUCAUCCCGACUUACCAACCCGAUGCAAACUACGAAUACCGAAGAAUGUUAUCACGGGAGACACACGGCGGGUGCUAACGUCCGUCGUGAAGAGGGAAACAACCCAGACCGCCAGCUAAGGUCCCAAAGUCAUGGUUAAGUGGGAAACGAUGUGGGAAGGCACAGACAGCCAGGAUGUUGGCUUAGAAGCAGCCAUCAUUUAAAGAAAGCGUAAUAGCUCACUGGUCGAGUCGGCCUGCGCGGAAGAUGUAACGGGGCUAAACCAUGCACCGAAGCUGCGGCAGCGACACUAUGUGUUGUUGGGUAGGGGAGCGUUCUGUAAGCCUGCGAAGGUGUGCUGUGAGGCAUGCUGGAGGUAUCAGAAGUGCGAAUGCUGACAUAAGUAACGAUAAAGCGGGUGAAAAGCCCGCUCGCCGGAAGACCAAGGGUUCCUGUCCAACGUUAAUCGGGGCAGGGUGAGUCGACCCCUAAGGCGAGGCCGAAAGGCGUAGUCGAUGGGAAACAGGUUAAUAUUCCUGUACUUGGUGUUACUGCGAAGGGGGGACGGAGAAGGCUAUGUUAGCCGGGCGACGGUUGUCCCGGUUUAAGCAUGUAGGCUGGUUGUCCAGGCAAAUCCGGAUAAUCAAGGCUGAGGUGUGAUGACGAGGCACUACGGUGCUGAAGUAACAAAUGCCCUGCUUCCAGGAAAAGCCUCUAAGCAUCAGGUAACAUCAAAUCGUACCCCAAACCGACACAGGUGGUCAGGUAGAGAAUACCAAGGCGCUUGAGAGAACUCGGGUGAAGGAACUAGGCAAAAUGGUGCCGUAACUUCGGGAGAAGGCACGCUGGUGUGUAGGUGAAGUCCCUGCGGAUGGAGCUGAGACCAGUCGAAGAUACCAGCUGGCUGCAACUGUUUAUUAAAAACACAGCACUGUGCAAACACGAAAGUGGACGUAUACGGUGUGACGCCUGCCCGGUGCCGGAAGGUUAAUUGAUGGGGUUAUCCGUAAGGAGAAGCUCUUGAUCGAAGCCCCGGUAAACGGCGGCCGUAACUAUAACGGUCCUAAGGUAGCGAAAUUCCUUGUCGGGUAAGUUCCGACCUGCACGAAUGGCGUAAUGAUGGCCAGGCUGUCUCCACCCGAGACUCAGUGAAAUUGAACUCGCUGUGAAGAUGCAGUGUACCCGCGGCAAGACGGAAAGACCCCGUGAACCUUUACUAUAGCUUGACACUGAACAUUGAGCCUUGAUGUGUAGGAUAGGUGGGAGGCUUUGAAGCGUGGACGCCAGUCUGCGUGGAGCCAACCUUGAAAUACCACCCUUUAAUGUUUGAUGUUCUAACGUUGGCCCCUGACCGGGGUUGCGGACAGU
rnacentral:rRNA from 1 species